rnacentral:rRNA from 1 species
GAGUACAAUUAAGAGGGCAAGUCUGGUGCCAGCAGCCGCGGUAAUUCCAGCUCCAAUAGCGUAUAUUAAAAUUGUUGCAGUUAAAAAGCUCGUAGUUGAAUUUCUGCUGCAUUGCUUUUGCUCCUUUACGAGUCUUUGCAUUGUGGCUUAUUUCGGACUUUGUUUUACAAUGUCCGGAUGUUUACUUUGAGAAAAUUAGAGUGCUCAAAGCAGGCUUUCGCCUUGAAUAGUUUAGCAUGGAAUAAUAAAGUAGGACUUUGGUUCUAUUUUGUUGGUUUUAGGUACCAAAGUAAUGGUUAAUAGGAACAGUUGGGGGCAUUCGUAUUUAACUGUCAGAGGG